rnacentral:lncRNA from 1 species
UACUAUUUUUAUUUUUGUAACAUUUUUUCCCUAAAUUUAACCAUUUCCCCUGCCAGAAUAAAGCUUCUUUUUGAUUUCUAAGUUUCUGCUUUAUUCAUGAGUGACAAAUUUGUAGUGUUCUUUUUUCUUGCAGGUAACAGUCAACUAAAGUGAUAUUUUGCAGCAAACCCUUGCAAGAGCACUGCCCGUGGAGGAAGCUUCCCCUCAAACUGUGAGAGGUUGGAGACCUACAGGAUUAAAUUCCAGGACUCAGGAUAAAUUCUCUCCAAGCAUGCACUAUCCAGCACCUUCCUUGCAAAAGUGGCAUGAUUGCAAAAUACAUGAAAGAAAAUAUAAAUAGCUGAUAACCUGGUGAUUUCACUGGCUGGAGAGACACAUAUAAAUCCUUCUGAGUGAGACUCAGUAAGCAAAAGAUUACCC